UACGGGGGGGGCAAGCGUUGUUCGGAAUUACUGGGCGUAAAGGGUUUGUAGGUGGCCAACUAAGUCAGACGUGAAAUCCCCCGGCUUAACCUGGGAACUGCGUCUGAUACUGGGAGGCUUGAGUAUGGGAGAGGGAUGUAGAAUUCCAGGUGUAGCGGUGAAAUGCGUAGAUAUCUGGAGGAAUACCGGUGGCGAAGGCGGCAUCCUGGACCAUUACUGACGCUGAGGCGCGAAAGCUAGGGGAGCAAACGGG
rnacentral:rRNA from 1 species